UCCAGUUUGACACUGGCAGUCCCUCUAGAGUGCCCAACUUAAUGAUGGCAACAAGAGGCGUGGGUUGCGCUCGUUACGGGACUUAACCCAACAUCUCACGACACGAGCUGACGACAGCCAUGCAGCACCUGUCUCUCAGUCCCCUUGCGGGGAAAGCCUACUUUCAUAGGCGAUCCGAGGAUGUCAAGACCAGGAUAAGGUUCUUCGCGUUGCGUCGAAUUAAACCACAUGCUCCACUGCUUGUGCGGGUCCCCGUCAAUUUCUUUGAGUUUUAAUCUUGCGACCGUACUCCCCAGGCGGAGUGCUUAACGCGUUAGCUUCGUCACUGAAAGGGUUAACACUUCCAACGACAAGCACUCAUCGUUUACGGCGUGGACUAC
rnacentral:misc_RNA from 1 species